UCCCUCCCACCACAGUCAGCCGGGCGACAUUUACACUGAAGACCCUUUGCUUUUUUUUAUCAGUCACUGAGAUGGAGCGAGCGAUAGUUAUUGUCGUCACGCUUGUAUGUGUUUUGUUCUGUGAACAGCAGAGAGGGUUUGGGACACAAUUGAACAUAAGAGUAAAAGCAGGAGAGAGCAUCACUCUGUACUGUGACUGUGUCAUACCAUUUGGAUCACACAUUGCUUGGUGGAGAAACUGCUCACAUGAGCAUCAACCAUCUCUGUUAAUAGAGGCUGGAAACCUGUUCACUGGGAUGUUUCCACGUUUCAGUUUAGUGUUCAACAGCUCCAGUAACUCCUUUGAUCUACAUAUUACAAACGCCAGUGUCUCUGAUGAGGGACUGUAUUACUGUGCAAUAAAAGAAAGAAAAGUACAUGAUGUACACAGCAUUAUAAGCUCUGAGUACCAGUAUGGAAACAGAAGUACUCAUCUAUCUGUCUUGGUGUCUCCUCAUCCUGAGAGGUUCACACCUCCUGUAUCAGACCUCUGCUGGACGCUGCUGUUCAGUGUGUGUCCGGUGUGUGUUCUCCUCUUCUCUCUCCUCUCCUCCAUCUGUGUGUACUGCUUCUGUCAGAGGAAAACAACAGAGUUCUCCUGA